rnacentral:misc_RNA from 1 species
AUUUCUUUUGAGGGCUGUGGAAUCUAAUCUUGUCUUUCAAUUUUGGAUGUCCCCAUUCAUGUCCAAAUGUGGAAGCAUGCUUUCUUAAUAUGGGUAUCUGAGCCGUGAGGAGGCUGCCCUAGUACAGCAUUUCAAAAGCCCAGUUCAAGUUUGAACCAAGUGAGACCUCAUAUAGCUGGAACUAAGCCUUUAGUAGAUUGAUGAUUAAUUUACUUCACUAUGUCCUAGUUUUGACACUGAUGAGAUGCAUCCAAGAUCAGCCUAAGUUACUUAAAAGUCCUACCCUUGCAAUGACUAUUAUCAUUAUGCGAAUGCACAUGUACAAAUGCACACAUGGAUAUGCAAAGUGGUGGGUUAUAAAAUUAAUCAAUGAAUGCCUAUUUCUUCAUAACAAUUUGUGGUUGGUUACAACUGUUGUUUGAUUUGUUGUGGAAUAGACACUGGAGAAAGCAGACUUAAGCAGAAGAGCAUCAAAAAAUCAGCCCAAUCCUCUUCCU